rnacentral:rRNA from 1 species
GACGAACGCUGGCGGCGUGCUUAACACAUGCAAGUCGAACGAAGAGCGAUGGAAGCUUGCUUCUAUCAAUCUUAGUGGCGAACGGGUGAGUAACGCGUAAUCAACCUGCCCUUCAGAGGGGGACAACAGUUGGAAACGACUGCUAAUACCGCAUACGAUCUAAUCUCGGCAUCGAGGAUAGAUGAAAGGUGGCCUCUACAUGUAAGCUAUCACUGAAGGAGGGGAUUGCGUCUGAUUAGCUAGUUGGAGGGGUGACGGCCCAACAAGGCGAUGAUCAGUAGCCGGUCUGAGAGGAUGAACGGCCACAUUGGGACUGACACACGGCCCAGACUCCUACGGGAGGCAGCAGUGGGGAAUCUUCCGCAAUGGACGAAAGUCUGACGGAGCAACGCCGCGUGAGUGAUGAAGGCCUUCGGGUUGUAAAGCUCUGUUAAUCGGGACGAAAGGCCUUCUUGCGAAUAGUGAGAAGGAUUGACGGUACCGGAAUAGAAAGCCACGGCUAACUACGUG